rnacentral:rRNA from 1 species
UACGUAGGGUGCGGGCGUUACUCGGAAUUACUGGGCGUAAAGCGUGCGCAGGCGGUCUGCUAAGAGAGGUGUGAAAUCCCCGGGCUUAACCUGGGAACUGCGCUUCUAACUGGCAGGCUAGAGUGUGGCAGAGGGGGGUGGAAUUCCACGUGUAGCAGUGAAAUGCGUAGAGAUGUGGAGGAACACCGAUGGCGAAGGCAGCCCCCUGGGCUAACACUGACGCUCAUGCACGAAAGCGUGGGGAGCAAACAGG